rnacentral:rRNA from 1 species
GACAUAGGUGGCGAACGUUAUCCGGAAUUAUUGGGCGUAAAGGAUGCGUAGAUGGUGAGAUAAGUUAGCAGUGGCAAAUCGGGGUUCAACCUCGUGGAAGCUGGUAAUACUGUCUCGCUUGAGUGCAGGAGAGGUUAACGGAACUUCAUGUGGAGCGGUAAAAUGUGUAGAUAUAUGAAAGAACACCAAUAAGGCGAAGGCAGUUAACUAUUCUGCUACUGACAUUGAGGCAUGAAAGCGUGGGGAGCAAAACGG